rnacentral:misc_RNA from 1 species
UAAAAUGCAUGCAUUAUCAUUUCAGUUUCUUUAUUUUAACCCAUUUUUUCACCUCUAUAGAAAACAUGUUUUGAUUUAAAUUACAUUUUCUUCAAAUUUCAAAACCGAAUUUGCUUUCUAUUAGUAGUAUAGGCCAUUUAUUUAUACUUUUAUUGAUAUUUUAAAUCAAUAGCUUAUUACAUGUAUAUAAACACUCUGCUGGAAAAAAACUUUAAAAGUUAUAUCUAUUAAGACAAAAUUGAUUGUAGAAAAUUUUAAAAUGAUUUCGCUACUGUUUGUAUUGUACAUGUACAGUUGUAUACAAGUGCUAAGCCCAUUUGAGUCCCCCAAAGUAUGAUUCUUAAAAGAUGCUGAUUUGAAUGGGAUUUAUCAUGGUUACCAUAUACAUAUAUUUACAAUAAUUUUGUAUUGUUUUCAAUAUUUGUUGUUCUCUUAAAAUAUGUAAACAAAUUUAGAGUAAACAUUUGCAAUUGUACUUGUAGUUAUAAUUGUUAUAAAAUUGAGGAUUCGUUUU